rnacentral:rRNA from 1 species
AUGGGUAGAACAAAUGUCAAUACUAUUUGGAGUAAGAUUUGGAAGUUAUCUUGUCCAGCAAAGGUGAAGAUUUUUAUUUAGCGUACUUUACAUGAAACCCCUCUAUGUCGUAUUACACUUGCAAAUAGACAUAUGAAAGUUUCAGCCAUAUGUCCAUCAUGUUCUAACGGGCUGGAAGAUACAAAUCACAUGUUAUUUUUAUGUCAAAAGGCAAAAGAGGUUUGGGAAAGAUUGGGUUUGCACGAGGCCAUUAAGAAAGCUUGUGCAAUCGAUCGUGCGGGAGAGGCAGUCUUUGAGUUCCUUCUUAUGCCAGACCAUGAGCUAUCUAUACUAGGCACCCAUAAUGCAUGUGAAUUGAUUGCCAUUACAGCUAGGUACCUAUGGUGGGACAAACGUACGCUAGUCCACCAGGAAAAAUCCCAAGAUGCAUACCAAGUUUCGAAGGGAGCCCGUGCUAUAACGACAAAUUAUGUCAUUGCCCAAUCUCCAAGGGAAACUAGUAAAAGAGAGGAAUGGACAAGACCACCUAGAGGUUUUGUGAAAUUAAAUGUUGAUGCUUCUUUCGACCAAGACAUGCUUAGAGGCAUAGCGGGGGCUGUACUUAGAGAUGACAAAGGAGGAUUCAUUGUGGGGGGGGGGGACUGGAGGAUGAAUUGGCGUGCAUAUGUAUUAACAUAUGAAGGUUUGGCUCUGCGAUAUGGCCUAUUACUUGCACAAAAGACGGGAUGCAACCUAUUGUCGUUAAUUCCGACAAUAUGGAAGUAA